AGCUGAUGCACAUGGCGGAUUUCCUCCCAGUGCCGCCGCAGCAGCUGUUCCCCUCUGGAGGUUUAUUGACCUUCACGCUUCAUGGGCCGCGGUUUUCGCUGGCCCAUUUUU
rfam:Rhizobium freirei PRF 81 Cont730, whole genome shotgun sequence.